AUUCCAGCUCCAAUAGCGUAUAUUAAAGUUGUUGCAGUUAAAAAGCUCGUAGUUGGAUUUCUGGUAGGAGCGACCGUGCCGAACUUGAUUGUUCGAGUAUUGUGUUGUCUUCAGCCAUCCUCGUGGAGAACUUUUCUAACAUUAACUUGUUGGGAUUGGGACCCGCGUCGUUUACUGUGAAAAAAUUAGAGUGUUUAAAGCAGGCAUUAGCUUGAAUACAUUAGCAUGGAAUAAUAAGAUAGGACUUUGGUACUAUUUUGUUGGUUUGCAUACCAAAUUAAUGAUCAACAGGAACAGUUUGAGGAUAUUCGUAUGAACAUGUCAGAGGUGAAAUUCUUGGAUUUUGAUCAGACGAACUACUGCGAAAGCAUUUAUCAAGGAUGUUUUCAUCG
rnacentral:rRNA from 1 species